UGCAAAGUUCAUUGAUGAUGCAUUCUUCAACAAUGCAUACUAUGCUAAAGUUGGAGGAGUAAGCACAGCAGAGUUGAACAGGUUGGAGAGGAAGUUUUUGUUUAGCAUAGAUUUCAGGCUUCACGUAAAUGUCAACACAUUUGGGAGAUACUGUUCUGAGUUGGAAAAAGAAACUGCUGAAGGAUUUCAGAUUGAACGACCAAUCCAAACCUGCAGAAUCAAAGAAAGUUGGUCAAACAAAGAUGACUCAACCACUUGUGCUCCCACCAUUGCGAGAUGAAGAUUCCAAAUCAUCUCACUGCGUCAUUCUAAUCCUACAUUCAUUUAAAUACGCUCAAGUUAUAUAUUCUAAAUAUGCAAUUAGAUGUCUGUCACUUUAGUUUGAAUAUUU
rnacentral:misc_RNA from 1 species